rnacentral:lncRNA from 10 species
GAAGAACUAGACAUAAAAUCAGCAAGGGGUAUAUUAGUCACACACACACACACACACACACACACACACACACGGAUAGAUAUGGAGACAGAUGCUGAGACAAAGAGAUAGACAAAGGCAGAGACACAGACAAAGAGAGACAGAAAUAGAAAGACAGGAAUUGGCUCGUGCAAUUGCAGAAGCUUGGAGAUUCUAAAAUCUGAAAAUCUGAUAGCAUUGGCCUGCAGCCUGGAGACUCCUGGAAGAGCUGCCCUGGAAGUCAAAGCAGUUUCCUGGAAGAAUCCCUUCUUGCUUGUGGGAGAUUCUGCAUCAGUCUUCCUCCAUCAUGAAUAUCCAUCUGGUAGCAGUGGAAGGUAUUCGAGUUACAUGGCACCAAAAUAUGUUACCAGCAGGUCUGCAGCAACCUCAUUCUUGCCUCCUCAGAAGAAAGAAUUUGAAGGACAUAAGGGAGAAGGAGAGACCAAGGCAAGUUUUAGAGCAGCAGUGAGUGAAAGUUUAUUAAAAAGCUUUACAGCAGGAAUGAAAGGAAGGAAAGUACACCUGGAAGAGGGCCAAGUGGCCAACUUGAGAGAUCAAGUGCGCAGUUUGACUUUUUGACUUGGGGUUUUAUAUGUUGGCAUGCUUCCGGGGUCUUGCACUACUUUUUCCCUGAUUGUGCAGUGCUUGGGGAGCGCUUCCUGCAUGUGCAGUGCCUGCCUAGCACUUGAGAGGGGAGGAUGCACAGUGUGCCUGCUGGAGUUGUACUCUUGCUUACCUGAGGAGUUCUUCCCUCACCAGCUGGAUGUCCCCAGGAGGUCACACACCAGUUAAACUCUGCCGUUCUGCCUCUUGCUCAACUGCUCAACUGCUGAGAUCUUAUUGGGAAGCUGCUGAUCAACACUUUCUGUUUUUUUUUUCUAUCUACAGGGAGACUGCCUUUCUCUGGCACUGACUGUGACCAAUGAUUAUUUUAGAGAAACAGUUAACAACUGCCUGACCAUCAACUGAUGGUCGUCUGACAUUCCAGGUGGUGCGGGAAGCCCUCUCCUGCCCUGCUCAUGCCUUACUAGCUACCUACUGUAACACACCUUGUCUUUAAGUAAAUGUGUCUGUUGUCCCUAUGCUUUGUAAAACUUACCCUCACAAACCCAAAGUUGACUUGUAAAGCCUAUAUCUAUCUUUGUCUUCUUGUUUUCUUUAGAAUUUAGAUCAAAACUUAUCUAUUAGGGAGGCUAUUUCCACAGAUUAGUGUGGUCCCAUAAAAUUUAUUUUCACUCCAUUAAUUAAGGUUAGAGAGCAGCACUGUGUGGUGUUUAAGAACUGGUUUUGAAUCAAAUUGCUUGUUUGAAUCUUGACUCUACUACUUACCAUCAGUACCAAAGGCUUGGAAUAAUUUAUGACACAUAAUAAGUGUUCAUUAUAUGUGUGUUUGAAUGAUGAUUUUUAACACCAUGCAUAGAAAUUUGAACUAUUGUAACUGCCUAAGGGGUUCUUCCUGCCCACUGCAUAAAAAGAGACCACAGUAUCUUAGUAAAGAAAGAGUUUUAUAGACACUAGGCCAGCCACGCCAUAUGGGAGAUUGGCGUUGGUACUCAAAUCAUCUCAUGCAAAGCUUAUAGGUUAGAGGAUUUUUAAAGGCAGUUUGGGGGAAGGGGUGGCAGUGGCUAGCUGUUUGUUGCUGAUUGGUUGGGUUGGAGAUACAAUCAUAGGAGACGGGAGCUGUCUUCCUGUGAGCUGAAUCUCUUCUGGGUGGGGACAUAGGAGCUAAGUUGGAGGGUCCAGGUGGGGCCUUCAAGGUGGAGCCAUGGCAGACAUGCAAAAACCUGAAAAGAUUUCCCAGGAGUAAUUGGGGAAGCAGCAUAUCUUAUAACCUUCCAGAAUAAUGCCUGACAAUUGUCUAUGUCUGCGCCUUAGCAGCACUCCGUUUCCUCUCCUCUCCCCAGCCUGAUGCCCUCCUAUUAGCUUUACAAAAGCUAUUGAGUUUUGGGCAAGGCCUAUUAUCAUUUAAACUAUAGCCUGAAUGACUUCCAAAGUUAGCUUGGCCCAGUAGCCUAGGAUUAAUUAAGGGAAAGGCAAAAUGGUGGUUGUGCUAGCUUAGCUUACUAAUAUAAUUUUUCUCACUAAUAUAUUUUUUGCAAAGUCGAUUUCACUGUAAACAAGGCCUACACAGGUCUAUUGGUUUCUAGUCAAAUACAGUAUUAAGAAGUUACUGUUAAUCAAGCACUGUGUCUAUUACUAGAGAAAAAACACAUCACCACCACCACCACCACCCCCACCAAGUCCCCUGGCACUGACUUUUUGUUUUUUGUUUACAUGUAGGUAGGAAAUUUUGUUUUGUUUUGUUUUUUUGACAGUGUCUAACUCUUGUCUCCCAGGCUGGAGUGCAGUGGCAUAAUCUCCGCUCACUGCAACCUCCGUCUCUCACGUUCAAGCGAUUCUCCUGCCUCAGCCUCCCAAGUAGCUGGGAUUACAGGUGCCUGCCACCACGCCCAGCUAAAUUUUGUAUUUUUUCAAGUAGAGACAGGGUUUUACCAUGUUGGCCAGGCUGGUCUGAAAUUCCUGAUCUCAAGUUGUAGCAGAACGAGCCGCAGACAAAACCCCUCAGACACUGAGUUAAAGAAGGAAGGGCUUUAUUCGGCCAGGUGCAUCAGCAAGACUCACAUCUCAAAAACCGAGCUCCCCAAGUGAGCAAUUCCUGUCCCUGUUAAGAGCUUACAAUUCUAAGGGGGUCCACGUGAGAGGGUUGUGAUCGAUUGAGCAAGCAGGGGGUAUGUGACUGGGGGUUUCAUGCACCAGUAAUCAGAACAGAACAGAACAGGACAGGGAUUUUCACAGUGCUUUUCCAUACAAUGUCUGGAAUCUACAGAUAACAUAACCGGUUAGGUCAGGGGUGGAUCUUUAACUACCAGGCCUGGAAUGCAGCACUGGGCUGUCUGACUACUGAUUUCACUUCUGUCUUUUCUUUAACUCCUACCUUUUCUUUGAGGCAGAAAUUGGGCGUAAGACAAUAUGAGGGGUGGUCUCCUCCCUUAAAGUGAUCCAUCUGCCUCAGCUUUCCAAAUUGCUGGGAUUACAGGCAUGAGCCACUGCCCCCAGACUAUUUUGUUUACUUCUAGUUUAAGUGGGUAAAAUUUAAGACAACAGAAGAACACUGAAGAAAUGUAGAAUGGAAGGAAAGAAUAGAGAAAGACAGUAUAAUGUAUCAAAUAAUAACUGACACUAGCAAGACAUUUCAUAAUAUGAACUAACUCCUUAUCUAAUUCUUAGCUGGUAUUUUCAUCAACCUUGAAAAUAUGAAGAUCAGUAUUGACAGCAAAGAUUCCAUCUUUGAUGUGUUAUAUUUUUGUCAAUUAUUAAACUUAUUGACACUUGUAUAAUGUUAUUAAAGAAUUUGGUACUACGAAUAAGUCUGCAAUAAUACUAAUUGUGUGUGUGUGUGUGUGUGUGUGUAUCAGUAUAUAUCAGUUAUUCUAAAUAACUAGUGAGUGUUUUAAAAAGUGUUUUGGUUAAAAACUACUACCUACGUAAAAACAAAUACAUUUUUGUGUGAUGAUGUAUGGACACAUGUUCAUUUAUUAAUGGGAAAAAGAUUUGAGAAAAAGAGAGGAUAAAAUAGGUACUUCUGUCUACUUGAAGUGAGUAAAACUGAUCAGUUAAACUUCAGCUUUAUUAGAAAAUUUAAGUUUAAAGUGAUCAAAUAUGUGGAGGAAAUUCAGCUAAAAAUUUCUAAGUAGAAAUAUAUAGUUUUACAAAUUGCAACAAAAUGAAGCAAAGAAAACUCAAAACAUCAAAACAUAGGAAAAGACAUGUAUAAUCAAACUAAUAAAAUGAUAGAUUAACAUGAAACAAAAUUAUAAAAUAUUUUCAUUCACCUCAGAAAUCACAAUCACAUGAAUAGGUUAAAGCUACUAAUGUAAAGGCACUGUCUUCCUAUUGGAAUUUCACUCCCUCUCCCUCUCCUCAAAGGCUCUAUGUCUUUGACAUGAGAGGGCUUUAAAACUAAAUGAUACAAAAAAACUUAAAAAUAAAUGUAGUAGAAAGAUAUACCAAAUGUAUAUCACCAAAAUUAAGGUUGAUUUAUUAUUUGUAUUGUAAAACAAAUGAAGAUUUCAAGGUGUAUAGUAUUCAAAGGACAAAAAUUAUAUUUUAUAUUGAUAAAAGCCCUUUUUCCACACAAGUCAAUAACCUUAUUCUUACAAUUUUUGAUACAAACACAUUAUUAUUUGAUCAGAAUAUUGUGUGCAGUUUGCACUUUUUGUAUUGUCCGUUAUCAGCCAAAGAAACAGCUAUUUCUCCAAUUAUCAACUUUUUUAUUAUAUUGGAGAGUGGUUUUUAAAACCAAGAUCUGGGUGCUAUGUGGACAUGUAGUUCCUGGGAGGUCAUUGUGUCUAGAUUAUUUCAGAACAAAAAAUAUACUGAAAAUACUGAAAUAUAUACUAAAAAAUAUGCUGA